CUGGAGAGGAACUGAUGUCUCUCUGUUAAACCAGAUGGGAACAAUUCAGACCAAACAGAAGAUCUGACUUUGCACGUGCUGGUAGGAGAUUAUUAUUUAUCACUGAGAACCUACCACUGAAAGUACAGUCCAGAUGAAUCAAAGCUGCAUGGAGAUGAAGGUCAUAAUUACUUUAACUGACUGUCUGAAAUGACGAUCAGAAGAGUCAACAUCCUCUUAAGCCACAGCAGCAAGACUCAUCUGUCAAAGCUCCAAACUGGACCAGCAAAAAAAAAUCUCAGAACACAGAUGUGCUAACAAAGCUAGUCUUUUAUGACUGGAG